rnacentral:lncRNA from 1 species
ACAACCGGUGCCUUAGGCCUGGCUUUUGCGUUCUGCUGGCCAGCCCCUCGUCCAGGUUGAUGGCACGGCAGCAAAGUUCUUAGCCCCUGCAGCGUGGGCUCCUAAUUUCACGCCAAGUUAAAAAUGCAGCCGAUCGCCCCCACACUUCCAACUUCAGAAACAGUUCUUUUUGGCCCUGGGGUGUGCCAAGGAGAGUGAAGAAUGCCUAACUGCUGGCUCUUCCCCCUUAUCAAUCUAAAUAACCCGUCCUCCCCGGUGCUCUCGCCUGCCUCCAGGAUUCGGGCUUUGAAAGGGUGAGAAGGGGAGAGAGGGACAGAGAGACAGAGAGAAAGAAAGAGAGAGAAGCGGUGCCAACCCCCUGCAACAAUAUAGCACCUUGGAAAUGGCGGGGUCAACGAAAACAGCUCGAGUAAGGACCGUGAUGGGAACUUGGCCCAGGUGAGAAGCAGAAGCAAGAUAAGUUAUCCACUAAAACAUGAGCAGGUUAGCCUGUUAAAUUAAAGAUAUAUUGUUACUGGUACAAGAUAUUGGGGAGUGGGUCUGAAAUAGCUUUUCCAUUAGGAAUCUGGAUCUUCAGGAUUUUCUGUCUGAAAUGCAUUAUUAUACUGCAAGUUGGAACUUGAUCUACAAGAUGUCAGUCAAGAUGAAAGUUCUUUUUUUGUAUAUUCUGUCCUCCAUGAACAUUUUUCAUUCAUUCAACCGAAAUUCACUGAGAAACAACUCUUAUAAGCUGCAUUUUACUAAAUACUUCUAAAAUAUUGGAAAAAAUGAUUAAACUGAAAAUAGUCUAUGAUUUGAAUGUUUGUAAUUUUUUUAACAUUUGAGCAUAAAUAUAGUAUAAUUCAAGUAGUUUUUCAGAUCUUUUAAAAGAAAAAAACCCCCAAAAAAUGACAGACAACGCUCAAAAAAAAAAAAGUCUACUGGCCUUUAUUCCCCACCCCAGGUUCUCUCUCCAUAGAGGCAAAUACUUUCAACUUUUC